GGGUGGGUUAGCUCAGUGGUUAGAGCUUAGGGUUUGUGAGCAGAAGGUUCCGGGUUCUAAUCUCGCCAGAGGCA
rnacentral:tRNA from 1 species